rnacentral:misc_RNA from 1 species
UGGCUUCUGAGCAUGGAGUAAAAGACUUGGAUGAUAAUGCUGUUCUCCAUGAGUCCAAGACUAGUAAUAUUUCUGGUGAUAUUGUCAAGUCAACAUCCUCAGAAGCUCACCAAAGAGCACAAGAUGCAUUAAAUGAGCAUUUUGCUUCAUUGCCUGUUGAACAAAACACAGAUAACUCCAACUGCGAUGAUCUUUGUCAUGUGACAGCCUCUGAUAUCAAUGUGAAACCUAUUAUGCAUGGGUGCAUGAAUAAUGCACUUCGCAUGUCAAGAGAGAUUGCAUCAAGCUCUUGUGGAGAUG